UGCAAGUCGAACGGAGAUCUUGAAUAGCUUGCUAAUUAAGAUCUUAGUGGCGGACGGGUUAGUAACACGUGAGAACCUACCCUUUAGACAGGAAUAGCCCAUGGAAACGUGGAUUAAUGCCUGAUAGUCUCUACGGAGUAAAUGGUGCCUCCGGGUAUCGCUAGAGGAUGGGCUCGCGGCCUAUCAGCUUGUUGGUGAGGUAAAGGCUCACCAAGGCGACGACGGGUAGCUGGUCUGAGAGGACGAUCAGCAACACUGGAACUGAGACACGGUCCAGACACCUACGGGUGGCAGCAGUCGAGAAUCAUUCACAAUGGAGGCAACUCUGAUGGUGCAACGCCGCGUGGAGGAUGACGGUCCUAGGAUUGUAAACUCCUGUCAUUGGGGAGUAAGACUUAAGCGUUAAGAGCGUUUAAGUUUGAUAGUACCCAAAGAGGAAGGGACGGCUAA
rnacentral:rRNA from 1 species